GCGUAAUAUACACACAGUUAUUUUGUAUUCCGAUUCCAAAGGUCAGAGGUUCGAAUCCUCUAGGGCGCACCA
rnacentral:tRNA from 1 species